rnacentral:rRNA from 1 species
ACGAACGCUGGCGGCACGCUUAACACAUGCAAGUCGAACGAGAGAAGAGGAGCUUGCUUUUCUGAUCUAGUGGCGGACGGGUGAGUAACACGUGAGCAAUCUGCCUUUCAGAGGGGGAUACCGAUUGGAAACGAUCGUUAAUACCGCAUAACAUAAUUGAACCGCAUGAUUUGAUUAUCAAAGAUUUAUCGCUGAAAGAUGAGCUCGCGUCUGAUUAGCUAGUUGGUAAGGUAACGGCUUACCAAGGCGACGAUCAGUAGCCGGACUGAGAGGUUGAUCGGCCACAUUGGGACUGAGACACGGCCCAGACUCCUACGGGAGGCAGCAGUGGGGAAUAUUGCACAAUGGAGGAAACUCUGAUGCAGCGAUGCCGCGUGAGGGAAGAAGGUUUUAGGAUUGUAAACCUCUGUCUUCAGGGACGAAAAAUGACGGUACCUGAGGAGGAAGCUCCGGCUAACUACGUGCCAGCAGCCGCGGUAAUACGUAGGGAGCGAGCGUUGUCCGGAAUUACUGGGUGUAAGGGGAGCGUAGGCGGGAUCGCAAGUCAGAUGUGAAAACUAUGGGCUUAACCCAUAAACUGCAUUUGAAACUGUGGUUCUUGAGUGAAGUAGAGGUAAGCGGAAUUCCUAGUGUAGCGGUGAAAUGCGUAGAUAUUAGGAGGAACAUCAGUGGCGAAGGCGGCUUACUGGGCUUUAACUGACGCUGAGGCUCGAAAGCGUGGGGAGCAAACAGGAUUAGAUACCCUGGUAGUCCACGCCGUAAACGAUGAUUACUAGGUGUGGGGGGACUGACCCCUUCCGUGCCGCAGCAAACGCAAUAAGUAAUCCACCUGGGGAGUACGACCGCAAGGUUGAAACUCAAAGGAAUUGACGGGGGCCCGCACAAGCAGUGGAGUAUGUGGAUUAAUUCGAAGCAACGCGAAGAACCUUACCAGGUCUUGACAUCGUAUGCAUAGCUCAGAGAUGAGUGAAAUCUCUUCGGUGACAUAUAGACAGGUGGUGCAUGGUUGUCGUCAGCUCGUGUCGUGAGAUGUUGGGUUAAGUCCCGCAACGAGCGCAACCCUUACUGUUAGUUGCUACGCAAGAGCACUCUAGCAGGACUGCCGUUGACAAAACGGAGGAAGGUGGGGAUGACGUCAAAUCAUCAUGCCCCUUAUGACCUGGGCCUCACACGUACUACAAUGGCUGUCAACAGAGGGAAGCAAAGCCGCGAGGUGGAGCAAACCCCUAAAAGCAGUCUUAGUUCGGAUUGUAGGCUGCAACCCGCCUACAUGAAGUCGGAAUUGCUAGUAAUCGCAGAUCAGCAUGCUGCGGUGAAUACGUUCCCGGGCCUUGUACACACCGCCCGUCACGCCAUGGGAGUCGGUAACACCCGAAGCCUGUAGUCUAACCGCAAGGAGGACGCAGUCGAAGGUGGGAUUGAUGACUGGGGUG